rnacentral:rRNA from 1 species
CUUAGUGGCGGACGGGUGAGUAAUGCUUAGGAAUCUGCCUAGUAGUGGGGGAUAACUUGGGGAAACCCAAGCUAAUACCGCAUACGACCUACGGGUGAAAGGGGCUUUUAGCUCUCGCUAUUAGAUGAGCCUAAGUCGGAUUAGCUGGUUGGUGGGGUAAAGGCCUACCAAGGCGACGAUCUGUAGCUGGUCUGAGAGGAUGAUCAGCCACACUGGGACUGAGACACGGCCCAG